rnacentral:tRNA from 1 species
AGGCCUAUAGCUCAGCUGGUAGAGCAUCGGUCUCCAAAACCGAGGGUCGGGGGUUCGAAUCCCUCUGGGCCUGCCA